rnacentral:ncRNA from 1 species
GCAGUACUCCCACGCUGAAGCGCCCGGUGGUAAGGGAUCAGCGUGGUGAAGGUGGGCAAUCUCCGCCCUUCCCGGGGCGGGUUAUGCCGUUCGGCGUUCGGUGUCCGGGAGUUCCCGCUCUCGGACGCCGCCG